UACGAAGGGGGCUAGCGUUGCUCGGAAUCACUGGGCGUAAAGGGUGCGUAGGCGGGUCUUAAGUCAGGGGUGAAAUCCUGGAGCUCAACUCCAGAACUGCCUUUGAUACUGAGGAUCUUGAGUUCGGGGAGAGGUGAGUGGAACUGCGAGUGUAGAGGUGAAAUUCGUAGAUAUUCGCAAGAACACCAGUGGCGAAGGCGGCUCACUGGCCCGAUACUGACGCUGAGGACGAAAGCGUGGGGAGCAACAGG
rnacentral:rRNA from 1 species